rnacentral:rRNA from 1 species
UACUCCUACGGGAGGCAGCAGUAGGGAAUCUUCGGCAAUGGACGGAAGUCUGACCGAGCAACGCCGCGUGAGUGAAGAAGGUUUUCGGAUCGUAAAGCUCUGUUGUAAGAGAAGAACGAGUGUGAGAGUGGAAAGUUCACACUGUGACGGUAUCUUACCAGAAAGGGACGGCUAACUACGUGCCAGCAGCCGCGGUAAUACGUAGGUCCCGAGCGUUGUCCGGAUUUAUUGGGCGUAAAGCGAGCGCAGGCGGUUAGAUAAGUCUGAAGUUAAAGGCUGUGGCUUAACCAUAGUACGCUUUGGAAACUGUUUAACUUGAGUGCAAGAGGGGAGAGUGGAAUUCCAUGUGUAGCGGUGAAAUGCGUAGAUAUAUGGAGGAACACCGGUGGCGAAAGCGGCUCUCUGGCUUGUAACUGACGCUGAGGCUCGAAAGCGUGGGGAGCAAACAGGAUUAGAUACCCUGGUAGUCCACGCCGUAAACGAUGAGUGCUAGGUGUUAGACCCUUUCCGGGGUUUAGUGCCGCAGCUAACGCAUUAAGCACUCCGCCUGAGGAGUACGACCGCAAGGUUGAAACUCAAAGGAAUUGACGGA